rnacentral:sRNA from 2 species
GAGCGCUAAAACAGCCACCAAAGCGAGUAAAAGUGGCGAACAACGUAUGAACACACGUUUCCUCGAGUUUGCCAGAGCCGCGAAUUUCCCAUUCUAUCCCGGCCCAACUUGAAUAAAAGAAGAAGCUUGUUCAGAAUCUAAAAUGCAUAGGAUGGACAUGAAGAUGCAUCAAAAAAAUAUCACAUUCAGCGCCUCGAAAUAUAGAAAGCAUGCUUAUUAACCAGACGAACAUCGCAUUGCCCAGCGGAUACCGGUACCGCUACUGCUACCGGUACUACCAGCAGUUUUUGCUUCGCCUACAAACUAGCCCUCCCCCGAGAUUCAAACGGC